ACCGCAUGAGAUCUACGGAUGAAAGCAGGGGAUCGCAAGACCUUGUGCUACUAGAGCGGCCGAUGGCAGAUUAGGUAGUUGGUGGGAUAAAAGCUUACCAAGCCGACGAUCUGUAUCUGGUCUGAGAGGACGAUCAGCCACACUGGGACUGAAACACGGCCCAGACUCCUACGGGAGGCAGCAGUGGGGAAUUUUGGACAAUGGGCGCGAGCCUGAUCCAGCAAUGCCGCGUGCAGGAUGAAGGCCUUCGGGUUGUAAACUGCUUUUGUACGGAACGAAAAGCCCUGGGUUAAUACCCUGGGGUCAUGACGGUACCGUAAGAAUAAGCACCGGCUAACUACGUGCCAGCAGCCGCGGUAAUACGUAUGGUGCAAGCGUUAAUCGGAAUUACUGGGCGUAAAGCGUGCGCAGGCGGUUUUGUAAGACAGAGGUGAAAUCCCCGGGCUCAACCUGGGAACUGCCUCUGUGACUGCAAGGCUAGAGUACGGCAGAGGGGGAUGGAAUUCCACGUGUAGCAGUGAAAUGCAUAUAUAUGCAGAGGAGCACCGAUGGCGAAGG
rnacentral:rRNA from 1 species